rnacentral:rRNA from 1 species
GAUCCUGGCUUAGGAUGAACGCUAGCGACAGGCUAACACAUGCAAGUCGAGGGGCAGCACGGGAGUAGCAAUACAACUGGUGGCGACCGGCGCACGGGUGAGUAACGCGUAUGCAACCUACCUAUCAGAGGGGAAUAACCCGGCGAAAGUCGGACUAAUACCGCAUAAAACAGGGGCACCGCAUGGUGAUAUUUGUUAAAGAAAUUCGCUGAUAGAUGGGCAUGCGUUCCAUUAGGUAGUUGGUGAGGUAACGGCUCACCAAGCCGACGAUGGAUAGGGGAACUGAGAGGUUGGUCCCCCACACUGGUACUGAGACACGGACCAGACUCCUACGGGAGGCAGCAGUGAGGAAUAUUGGUCAAUGGGCGAGAGCCUGAACCAGCCAAGUCGCGUGAAGGAAGAAGGAUCUAUGGUUCGUAAACUUCUUUUGCAGGGGAAUAAAGUGCGGGACGUGUCCUGUUUUGUAUGUACCCUGAGAAUAAGGAUCGGCUAACUCCGUGCCAGCCGCAGC